GCGGGGAUGCCGGAGCGGUCAAACGGGACAGGCUUAGGACCUGUUGGCUUAGUGCUUGCGGGGGUUCGAAUCCCUUUCCCCGCA
rnacentral:tRNA from 1 species